UGAAUCUAGUAUUAAUCAAAUUAAAGCUUUAAGGGAAGUUUUUUAUUUACAUUAAAAAGAAUACUGUUCAA
rnacentral:tRNA from 1 species